GGUAGUAAGCUCCCUGACCUCGAGAGCAUUCAAGCGGAGUCCACCAAACCGGUUGGACUGCCGUGGAAGAAGUCUGAUUCCCGGUCCCCUCUCUGGGCACCUCACCUGUGCAGCAAGAGGGACCGUGGCAGCCGGUGUUUAGCGAGCACCUACUGGAUACCAAGGCCGUCUGCCGCACUUGGUAGGUGCCAGUUCACAGAAUGCUCGCAGCCCUGCGAGGAGGCACUGUUCUUCCCGAAUGUUCCAGAUGAUAAGGCUCAGCCGGGUGAGGGGGGGCAGGGGCGUCAGGUGAUUUGCCGAUCGUCACCUGGGAUCCAAGGUGCAUGGCGCAGAGCUUGCGUCCCGCGCCACCAUGCAGGACGAGAUGUCUCCUUGAUUCCAGGAGGUCCAACCCCAGUUAGGAAACUGCUCCGUAGACUUGGAGAAGUCGCGAAGGUUCUCCAGAAUCGCUUCAGGGCCGUGGCGGGGAGGACAGCGGGCUGUGGCUUUCCAGGGGCCAGGCCCUCUGUCAGGCCGAGCACGGCCCAGAUCCUGCCGGGACAGCAGCUGCCAGAACACCUCGUCCACCCCACGGGCACUGGGCAGCACCACCAGGGCCCGGCAGGACACGGGGAGGGCGGCCGGGGGCUGUCAGGGGCGGUUCCCAUCACAGGGGCACGGCCCCAACUCUGCCCCUUGCUCACGCUCUGUACUUUCUGGGGUCCCCCCCAGAGCAGACUAUUGAAGCAGACCAAUAAAGCUGAGCACCGGCCUGGGUUCCGGCCUCGGCACCUGGGUAGGGGUAUCUCCCUUCCUCCAGGCACGACUCAGCCCCACCUCUUCCAGGAAGCCUUCAGAGAUUGCUCAGUGGUUGCUCAGUGGUUGCUCCGUCCUAGGACUCUCCCUUUUUCUCUCCUGUUACAUUUUUCCUUCAGCUCCAGAGUGGAAAGGGAGUUUAUCUGGCUUCAGCGAGGUCCAAACCAGGGCACAUCUGAGAGCACAGCAGGUGCUAUUAUUUAUUACGUGGGGUGUUAG
rnacentral:lncRNA from 12 species